CUCGUCAUUGAUGAAAAUGAAUUCUUUGACCCGCCCUUUGAUUAUGAUUUCCGUGGGCUGAGAGACACAGAGACAUACUACAGAGGAGGAGAGGUGUAUGAACGCCCGAGUGGUUGGUACCGUUUUGGUCUGAAGGUCCUGAAUAAGUAUGAUGAUAAUAAGUGGCUGGGAAGCCAGUACCGUACCACACAGUCGACGCCAGGUGAGUGGCCUGUUUCCUACCAUGGGACCUCAAAGCAGGGUGCUGAAGGAAUCAUCGCAGGAUAUUACAAGCCAGGCCCAGGUCAGGCUUAUGGCAGAGGGAUUUAUUCCACCCCAUACAUCUCUGAGGCCAUACACUAUGCAAAGAUUUUCGAAUCCCAAAAGACGGGCAAGAGUUACUAUGUGAUUCUGCAGAAUCGGAUCAACGCUGCGUACAGGCAGAAGCACAACAAUGACAAGUACUGGCUGAUUCCCAUCCAAGACCACAUAUCGGGGGAAGAAGAGCGGGAGGUGGUGCAGCAGGCCAUCCGUCCUUACGGCCUUCUGCUGAAAGAGGUCUGAACGAACAAAGCGUCACAAGAAAACAAUGAAUUUGCAAUAAAAAUGUGAUGUGAAAAAAUCAUUCUGUACUAAAGAAUUGAAUAAACAAGCAGCUACAGCUUUGAA